rnacentral:tRNA from 1 species
UCUCUGGUUGUCCAGUGGUUAAGACCCCGUGCUCCUAAUGCAGGAGACCUGGGUUCAAUCCCCAGUUGGGGAA